GGCGAGAGAGAGUGAGAGAUGCGAUGAGUGGCUGCUUCUGGGCUUUCGCCUUGUUCUGCGACGUUGUCUCCUUUGCUCUACCCCACUCUACGUUAUUGCCACGAUCCGGGAAAGAGAGAGGAAGAGAGGAGAGGGAGUGGGGAGUUCGGUCUGACGACCUCUCUCUGGGCUGAGCUUGGGUGGGGGAGAGGGAAACGGGAAAGGUUUGAGAUUUAUGGAUGGUAGAACCACAAAGGAUUUGGAAGAAAUGAAGAAGAUUGGUGGUAGAUCUUCUCUGACUUUGGCUGGCUUGCUUUCCUUGGGCCGACAGAAGAGAGUGAGCACACGCCGGCGAUGGCAGCAUGAUAGCGAUGCUGUUCCCGUUGCGUGCUCAUUUCUCUUUCUGUCAGCUUCCCAUGCCGCGUCCGCUCUCUUGCCUUCUCUUUCUUUCUCUUUAUUCUUUUUUUUUUGAAAGAGUUCUUUCUUUUUAUUCUUCUGUUUUAUGUGAUAAAAGAAAAAAAAGAUAGUAGUUAUCAUCGGCGAUUUUUUUCUAAAAAUAAAUAAAACUGUUCGAGAAAGGGCCACGCGCAGCGGCAGAGCCUUAUCUACUUCCUAUCUCGGGUCUAUCAUCGCUUUUAUGGCCGCUGCUUUUCUUUUGCCUUUAUCUUUGUCCGGGACGUCUCUUCCCACCAGGGGAGGGAGAGGGUUUUCCGAGGAGGAAGAUGAUGUAAGACUGUACAGUAUCCCCUCAAUGGAUUUUAUUUCAGAAUUAUCAUCCCUCGGGCCGUCUCUUCUGGCCGGGGGAGGGGAGGGAGAGUGUUUUCCGAGGAGGAAGAUGAUAACAAUUUUCAAAAUGAAAGGAAGGAAAUUGAGGCGAUGGAGCACGGAUGCGUGGCUUUGGAGAAAGAGCCUUCACCUUUCUCUCUCCUCGUUGGGAGCGGCCCGGAUCGAGGCGACGGUACACCUUUGCGCGAUGUGGUUUUUAACGGAAGUCACUGUUGACCACCCCUCCUCCCCCCCCGGCUCCUCUCUCUUUCUCUUCCCCCUUUCUUCACCUUUUUUUUGUUUUUUUUGUUUUUGUUUUUGACGAGAUUUCUUCUCCUAUCUCACCUCCAUGUUCUUUGGCCAGGACACGAGCCAUUGCACUGGGAGAGUCAAGCCAUGUUAAAGAUUGCAGGAAGCUAGCUAGGAACCUUUGGCCGUUCUCAUCUCGAACGUUAUAACUCGGAAUUUCAUUCGGGAAGAGCCGCGUCGUGCUUUGUUGCAGGCUUGCAGGCUUCCAGGGGCCAAGAUGGUAGGAGAUGGGGGCAGGAGAAGGACGGGUUCACAGUUAAUAAAGGACAGGAAGUGAUGUUCCUACGGUUUCUUAGCAGAUCUGGGAUUCGUCGGUUCUUUUCCCUCUCAUCUGAACCUUUGUUUUUUUUUUACUGAUUUGGCGGUGGUAUUAUUGCUACGGUACCUUAUUCCAUGGAGCUGUCUGCGGUCUUUCUAUUCUUGGAAAUAAAACUUUUGACCGUGGACAUCACAUGGUUACACCUGGAUUUUAUCAUUUUAUGCGCCAUUCUUUCUUCCCACAUUUACUCUCUCCUUUGUUCCGGUGCUAAAAAUAAGGAAAGAAACAAAAGAAAACGACCGUUACCGAAGGGCUUCUUUAUGCCUGCUGUUCUUGUUUCAUGCCCCACCAAGGUUCUAAUAGUUGGCACCAUUUAGUGCCCACUCUUUUGUUGUCCACUCUUUUCCUUUUGGUUUCUUUUUGAUUUGCAGGUGAAGGGAAUAAUUCAGUGGAAGACCUGGAAGGGAGGGGACCCUUUUGAAGGAUGCCGGAUGGUCCACAGUUGUAGCCUCUGGGAUCCGUGGAGGAUUUAGGUGCCGUCGUAAACUAUGGAAAUGGAACAUUUUUUGGAGCAUGUAUUUGUUCCCUUCUGACUUUCUGCAUAAAUCAAAACAAAUUAAAGUUUGUUCAUAGCAAGAGGACUGCCUGGGCUAACGGCUGUGGUCAUUGCCUCACCAAAGCUAUUUGACAACUCUCAAGGAGAGCUUGAGAAGGCCAGACGCCAUAAAAUUGUUCAUUAUCAGGGCACAUGGAUGAUGAGAGGAUACUUUUAUGUAACAAAACUUCUUGUUGGGGCUUGAUAAUGAUAUGAUUGAUUUUAUGGCUAUCACAUGGGUGCUUAGAGGACUGCCUCGGCUAAGUUCUAUAUAUCGUCAUUGUCUCACUAAAGCUAUUUGGCAACUCUGAAGGAGAGCUUGAGAAGGCCAGACAGUACUUUAUGACCAGCUAUCAUAAGAUAGGGAUUGAGUUACCUGAUGUUUUCUCUUCUAUCAACAAUGUAUCAGGGCACAUGGAUGAUGAGAAUAUAUUCGAAUGUAACAAAGCUUCUUGUUGGCCCUUGGUGAUAUGGUGGCUUUUACUUCUGUUCGUGUCAUGCAGAAGGUGUCCAGGAUCUGCUAUCAGGUUACUUGGAAAUAUCAAGGCUAGCCGGAUAUGGAGGGGGUUUGUUCUCCCCACAGCAUGAGUUUCCGCAUUGUCAUUAAAUCUCAAGCAGUAGUAAAAUUUAGAAGAAUAUUGAUCAACUAAUGUAUCAGUAGCCGUAUUGGUAAUUUGCUGUACCAAUCUAGCUAGCUGGUUUACUUUUUUAAACUAAAUGUCGUGCUCAGAAUUAUCAAUGAUGAAAUCUUCUUUGACAUUCUUCUUGAAAAUCAUGGUUUACUAUUCAUUUUGAGGUGGAGACAAGUUAAUAUAA